rnacentral:lncRNA from 1 species
UUACAUAGAUAAAUCUUAACUAUUUAGUGCACUUUGCAAAGUAAGGCAUCUGUCUAGAGGUCUUUAUUUAUAUGGUCCUUUAAUGAUUUUUUUUUUUUCCAGGCCCUCAAUUCUCAGCUGAUUUUGUAAAGGAAUAGUCACUGAGAUACUGAACAAUCCUGAGAUGGCUUCUUUGCUGCUGAUGGUUAGGAGGAGGAAAAAAUAUGCCUUUCAUGGAAGGCAUGGGGAAAAUGCUUUUUGGCUACCCAUUUGAACUCGUGUUGGAGUCUGCCAUUUGAAGAGAGACGAACAAAUGUGUAAUGGUGUUCAGAUGAAUAGGAGUGCAUUUACCACAUCAGCAGCAGAUUCAAGGAAGAGUAGUGGUGGUGUUUGUGGACCAGGAUAUUCACAGCCAUGUAAGCACUUGCAGAUGCAAAACACCCCUGGGCUUCUGCAUGGGAGCAACUCUGUAUUUACUUGUAUUUUCAGAUGCAUCAAGCAGCUGUGUGCAAUGCAGACUCUUGGGGUAACCUACUGGUCACUUGAGCCAAGGUCAGAGGCAUUAGCUCCACCUGUAAACUGGGAGGACAAAUGGAUGUGAUUUAACAGGUAUGGGAAUCAGGAAAAAAAUAAGUUUUGACCAAGGUGCUUCUGCAGCACCUUGUAGUCUCUUACUGCUUGUUCCUCC